AUACGUAGGGGGCGAGCGUUGUCCGGAAUGAUUGGGCGUAAAGGGCGCGUAGGCGGCUUGUUAAGUCUGGAGUGGAAGUCCUCUUUUCAAGGGAGGAAUUGCUUUGGAAACUGGCGGGCUUGAGUGCAGGAGAGGUUAUCGGAAUUCCCGGUGUAGCGGUGAAAUGCGUAGAGAUCGGGAGGAACACCAGUGGCGAAGGCGGGUAACUGGACUGCAACUGACGCUGAGGCGCGAAAGUGUGGGGAGCAAACAGGAUUAGAUACCCUGGUAGUCCACACCAUAAACGAUGAAUACUAGGUGUAGGGGGUAUCGACCCCCUCUGUGCCGACGUUAACACAUUAAGUAUUCCACCUGGGGAGUACGGCCGCAAGGCUGAAACUCAAAUGAAUUGACGGGG
rnacentral:rRNA from 1 species